CCUACGGGUGGCAGCAGUGAGGAAUAUUGGUCAAUGGACGAGAGUCUGAACCAGCCAAGUAGCGUGAAGGAUGACUGCCCUAUGGGUUGUAAACUUCUUUUAUAAAGGAAUAAAACGAGGCACGUGUGCCUUUUUGCAUGUACUUUAUGAUUAAGGAUCGGCUAACUCCGUGCCAGCAGCCGCGGUAAUACGGAGGCUCCGAGCGUUAUCCGGAUUUAUUGGGUUUAAAGGGAGCGUAGGGGGGUUGUUAAGUCAGUUGUGAAAGUUUGCGGCUUAACCGUAAAAGUGCAAUUGAUACUGGCAGUCUAGAGUACAGUGGAGGUAGGCGGAAUUCGUGGUGUAGCGGUGAAAUGCUUAGAUAUCACGAAGAACCCCGAUUGCGAAGGCAGCUUACUAAACUGUGACUGACAUUGAUGCUCGAAAGUGUGGGUAUCAAACAGGAUUAGAUACCCUGGUAGUC
rnacentral:rRNA from 1 species